ensembl:misc_RNA
AUGGACAGCCAGGGAUACUGAACUCCUUUCUUCAUCCAUAAAACAGGUACAGCACAGAGCCAGCUUUCCGGCAUUGCUCUGCCCAUGUGUUUUCAUAAUAACCUAGAGGGACUGUCUCUAGAGAUGAGAGGGUAAUUCAGUCUCCAGGCCCUAACCAGUCCUUGGCCUCU